rnacentral:rRNA from 1 species
UGGGGAAUUUUGCACAAUGGACGAAAGUCUGAUGCAGCGACGCCGCGUGUGCGAUGAAGGCCUUUGGGUCGUAAAGCACUGUCGAUCGGGACGAAAACUGAAGUACUAAUACUAUUUCAGUCUGACGGUACUGAUAAAGGAAGCACCGGCUAACUCUGUGCCAGCAGCCGCGGUAAUACAGAGGGUGCAAACGUUGCUCGGAAUUAUUGGGCGUAAAGCGCGUGUAGGCGGCUUGUUAAGUUGGUCGUGAAAGCCCAUGGCUCAACCAUGGAAGUGCAACCAAUACUGGCAAGCUCGAGUUCUGAAGAGGAUGGCGGAAUUCCCAGUGUAGAGGUGAAAUUCGUAGAUAUUGGGAGGAACGUCGGAGGCGAAGGCGGCCAUCUGGGAAGUGACUGACGCUGAGACGCGAAAGCGUGGGUAGCAAACAG